GGAUGGGAGAACAAUGAGGCUGUGACCUCUGUCACCCCACUGGUCACAAGGGUUAAUUCUGCUGAGCUUGGUGGCUACACAGGUUUCUCCUUCCUCCCUCCCUGCUCCAUGUGCAUCCCUCCUGGGGUUGUACACUCAGUCAAAGAGGAUGACCUUCCCUGGGUAAAGACAGACUUUUGAUGAAGGGUACACGAGAAGCUGCACUUCCCUGCUAGAACCUCAAACACACACACACACACACCUCUUAUCUCUCAACUUUUGUCUAUGAGUGAAAUCAUCUCAUAUUCAUCCUUCUCUUUCUGGCUUAUCUCACUUCACAUGAUCUGAUCAAGUUUCUUGCAAGAUGAA
ensembl:misc_RNA 7SK 7SK RNA